CCGGUAGCUCAGUUGGUAGAGCAAAUGACUCUUAAUCAUUAGGUCGUGGGUUCGAACCCCUCCCGG
rnacentral:tRNA from 1 species